rnacentral:rRNA from 1 species
AUUGAACGCUGGCGGCAUGCCUUACACAUGCAAGUCGAACGGCAGCACGGGAGCAAUCCUGGUGGCGAGUGGCGAACGGGUGAGUAAUAUAUCGGAACGUGCCCAGUCGUGGGGAUAACGUAGCGAAAGCUACGCCAAUACCGCAUACUAUCUAUGGAUGAAAGCGGGGGAUCGCAAGACCUCGCGCGAUUGGAGCGGCCGAUAUCAGAUUAGGUAGUUGGUGAGGUAAAGGCUCACCAAGCCGACGAUCUGUAGCUGGUCUGAGAGGACGACCAGCCACACUGGGACUGAGACACGGCCCAGACUCCUACGGGAGGCAGCAGUGGGGAAUUUUUGGACAAUGGGCGCAAGCCUGAUCCAGCAAUGCCGCGUGCAGGAUGAA